ACUAUACCAACCUGGACGAUCUACGUUUACAAACAUGUAUUGGUUGGGGUACUUGCAUUGUUUUAUACUUGUGGUUACUAUAUUGUGUACGACUGGUGCAAGAUAUUCACAAUCUUGCAUGCGAUGCUAACGAUAGUUAGGGGUUGCUCAUAAACAAGAAUAUUCCUUUUAAGCAAUGGUUGAAUUGAAUAUAGUUUCAAUUGUUUUACAACUAAUAAAUUAUUACAUGACCGUAAUUCAGCAAGCAAUAGUUUACGGUCAUUCAUGUUGGUGGUGAUCGAUGCAUAAGAAAGAACGUUUCACUUGGAAAAACAUACAAGGUCGUCGAUAGCUUGUUGUCGAUUACCCCAACAUCGUGAAUUGUAUCGAGUAUAAAACAUUUUGAAAAAUAGGACGCCAAUAAAGAAUCGGAUAGCGAUGAAGCUCAAGAAUAGAGUUCGUGAUUUGCUAAAUGUAACUUAAGUGAUUGAUUAUGAUCUUUAAACCUCAAAGGUAAUUAAAGUCAGCCUGCAGCCUUAUGAUAGCAGAGUAGUCUGUUGUUAUAAUGCUAAAAUUUGAGGAUAAUUUCUCAUAAUUAUUUGAAAAUAACACGCCAACACAUUAAUUACAUUAGUAAACUCAGAAAUAUUACUUGAAAAAUAA